UCCCAUUUUGGCCUCCCAAAGUGCUGGGAUUACAGGCAUGAACCACUGUGCCUGGUCCUGGAAUGCAGCUUUCUAUACUCAGUGAAUAAAGAGAAGGACAGAUUAGCCUGGGAAGUAGCAUGGGCACAGGCUCAGAGUGCCAGCUCACCUGCAGCUUGAGGUGUGUGAAUUAGUGUCAGGUAAGCCGAGCCUGGAAUCGAGGAAAUGACCCUUAAGGACCCUGAAUGCCAUCUAAUGCAAUGGAUUUCCUCAGUAGGUGCAGAAAUUUCUUAUGCUAUGUAACAAAUUACCACAAGCUUCAUGGCUUGAAGCAACACCCAUUUAUUAGCUUGCAGUUCUGUUGGUCAGAAGUCCUGCUCGGCAUGGCUGCAUUCUCUGCACUGUUACGAGAUGAAAAUCAAGGUACCACUUGGGGUGAGUUCUCAUCUGGGGGAUCUUGGGGACAUAUCUGUUUUCAAGCUCAUUUCUGUUGUUGGCAAAAUUUCGUUUCUUGUGGGAGUGGGAUUGAGGUCCUGAUUUUUUGCUGACUGUCAGGGGGUUACUCUCAGCCCUUCGAGACUACCUCAAUUUUUCACCAUCUUCAAGCCAGCAAGGGCACAUCAAUUCCUUCUCAUGCUUUGAAUCUCUGUGACUUAGCUUCUGAGAUGAGCCAGAGAAAACCCUUUGCUUUUAAAGAGCUCAUAUGAUUAGGUCAGACCUACCUGAAUUAUUUCUUAAGGUAUGCUGUGCCAUAUAACAUCAUCUGAUCACGGGAGUAAAAUCCAUCAUAUUCACAGUCCUGGGGACUAUGCAGGGCCUGUAGAUGAAGGUGCAGGAAGUCGUAGGGACCAUCUUAGAAUUCUGCCUUCCAUGGUAGAUAAUGGGGAGUUUCUGCCAGUGUUUAAACAAGGAAGUUACAUGUUCCAAGCUGUGUUCUUGUAAGUUAAUAUUAGUGGGAUGUAGAAAGUGUUUUGGAAAGAUGAAGAACUGGAAACAGUUGACAAGGGAGGAAGUCUUUGCAAUAGCAAAAGAUCUGAGAGCACCAGUGCAUUGGAAAUGGGGAUCCAAGGAUCAAAAGGAGAACUUGACAACUUGCUACCUCCUAAUUCAAGCCAAGAUUUGCUUCCUUUGUGCUUUGUGGAGGGAAAGGCAAUGAAGGGGAGUACUAAGCAGACAGGCUCUUAAUGCUUUCUCUUAAACAGGGUAGCUUUUUCUAACACCCUCAUUUAAUAAUUGAGAUAUGGUGGUUUAGAAAGGAAAAAUGACAUACUUACCAGAGUUUCUUAGCUUUGCCAAGUAUGCAGUUUAGUUUGAGAAGAGACGACUCACUGGUAAAGAAAUGAUUAGAGGACAUGCAGGGCAUAAGAAGGGCAACUUGCCCAAUUAUAGUAUGGAUUCCAAGAAAGGCUGUGGUCAGUUUGGCUUGGAAUUUGUCAGGUUAACCGCAUGGGAGAAUGUGGGUCUUAGCCUGGCUGUUAAAAGAAGUUAUGGAGAGGACAUGAGUAUUAUUUAAGCAAAGGUCAGCAGACAGGACCAGCUCUGUGUAAAAUUGGGGAAUAGGAGAAGCUUGAGGGGCAAUGUGGUAUAGUGGCUGUGAGCCUUGGGAUCUUAUAUACCUGAGCUAUAUGACUUUGGGGAAGAUACUUUGUCUCAUGAGCCUCAGUUUUUCAAACUGCAAAAUGGAGCUAAUAAAUAUGUACAUAUAAAUACAAAAUAACAGUUUCAUGGGCUAAAUCUAGCUGAAUAUUGCAAAUAUUGUAUGAUUCAAUCAAAUGUAUCUAUACCUGAUAGCGUUCUUAUGAUUUCUGGGUCAGAUAGUGCAUGUUUAGCAUAGUUCCUGGCCCAUCAUCAGUAUGGCAUCUUAGUAACUAUUUGUAAUAUUAUUCAAGGAAAAGGAAACUUCAAAAUCUGGAAUUUAAGUAGAGCAGUUAACUUUUCAAGCUGGAGAAGGCUUUCACUUUGCCAUAUGGAGAAGUAGCCAGUAAGGGAGAGGAUGUUGAAUUGUGAAACGUGGGAAUAUCAACCAGAAGCUGGGGUCAGAGGGGCAGAGACUCCUGGUGUGUCAACGUUUGGCUUGGCUUGACCUGAGGAUACAGAGUUUAAUAUCGCUUUGUUGAUUGGGGCCUUAGAGGAGUUCAGACUUCUGGGGUCAGGGAGUAGAUGGGCUAUUAGGUAGAAUAACCCAGUUCAGAGCAGAAAACUCCCUGGGAGGGGGUGAGAGGGAUAGGAAGAUGAAGAUGGGGUGGGUGGGUGUGUGUGUGUGUGUGUGUGUGUGUGUGUAGGAGGAUUGAUUUCACUGGAUGGAUUGCAGAAGCUUUGGGUGGUGGAACCUCAUCUGCACUGGGCUGAUUCUUUGCAAUUCUUCCUGAGGAAGUUACGCUUUGAUGAAGGGGGCUUUCUGAAAGGGAAAUAAGAUUUCCUUAGAAAAGGGUAAAGAGUUGAGAGGGCAGGAGGAAGAGGAGGAAGUGAACUGGGGGAGUUUGCGAGGUUGAGAAUGUGGGAUUGACGGGUAUAAAAAGAUAUGAGAGCUAUGGGCUGCACUCCACUGUUGAGGAGACUGCAUGUCCAGCGUUCAGAGAGACAGUGGAGAAGAAACUGGGGUCCCCAGGCAGGGCUUCUGGUUUCCUUGGGACUCUAGGUGUGGUGGAAAGGGGGCCCCAUGCCCAGAACAAUCCUGCCUUGAGGUAAAGAUGCCUCUCAGUGAUAUUUGGAGAAUGCCAUGUCUUUCUCCUAGUACAAUACGUGGAAACAGAAUUCAAAGCAUCUCUCUCUGAGCCUGUGAACCACAACAAGGGCUUUAAAAUAGCUUCAGAAAGGUGCCUUUGCCUUGUUUAUGAAGCGUGUACUAAUUAGACAGAGUUGUGUUUUCUUUGUGGUAUAAGCCUUUGCAGUGGAUCUACAUUGUCAUUGUUAUCAAUGAUAACUAAUGAGAUUAAGAUUUAAAACAGGUGUUUGAUAAUCCUUGCUGAAGAGAAUUCAGGGGAUAUUGUUCCUGAUUUUGCUUUCUCUCCACCUGGAAAGGAGGUGGAUGAGCCCAUCAGCCCACAGCCUGUUGUCGGGAGGAAAUUCCUUGGCUCAAUGUGAAGAAAGUGUAGUAUGCCCAGAUUACUGUUUACCAGGGACAAGGGCCUGUUGCUUUGAUCUUCUCCCAAGACUGGAGUUGGAGAAGUGUUUUUGGUGUAGUUCCAUCCUCUCAGAGUGAAGCUCUUCAAUUUCCCAGGCAUUGAAGCUUUGUUAUAAGAGUCACUGGAUAGAUUCUGAUGUAAUGAUUCAAGAUGCUGGCUUUCCAGAAAAUUCUUAAUAUAUUGCCAUAUUCACCAUAGCUUUAAUUCCAUUAUGUAAAAAAGAACACUUUCUUGUCAUCUGAAGAGCUCCUAAUUUCUUAAAUCCCAUCAAAUGUCGUGAUAUUUACUCAAACUUUCUUUCCAAAAUUGUGCCCUGGAGUGUUUGUAGGCAGCUAUUACAUUUGCCUCUAACAUUACUCACCAUUUAGUAAAAGAAACAAAACAAAUGCCAGCAAAAGUAACUCCUCCAUAAAAUACAUGUCAAGCAGGAAUAACAUGUGAAUGAACAAAAUCCUGGCUUGAAUCUGUUCUUUUGCAACAAAUGUAGUGUGGUUGUAAUUUUGAGAAAAGAAGCCUGCAAACAAAAACAGUUAGUAGUUUAAUUUUGGGUUUACAGUUUUGACAUUGUAACCCUAAAUUACACCUUAUUUGGAAAAAUCUCUUCAACUUCAGACUUUUUUUUUUUCCCUAGUGCUACAAGAUGACUCUAUUAAAAAUUCUCUGGAGAUAAAAUAGCAAUAUUUGUCAAUCUAUAUAAUAGUUAAUAUUCAAAGUAACAUAAUUGAUCUGCAUCAUAGAUUUACUCUUCUUGUUGAAUAUAUUGAUAGUUCUAAAUACAUAGAAUUAAAAACAAACACAAAACUCCUUUCCACAUGGCAAAUAGGGAAUUGUCAGAGCUGUGCCAAAUGUCGUAAGAUGCAGCAUUUAGGAGAGAUGAAGGGCUAAAGCCAUCAGAGUUCCUACCAAAUUGGGUGACCUACAUGAGUUUUGUUAGCCACCCCUUAAUGAGCCAACACUGAAGAAAGGUUUUUGCAGAAGAAGAAUGAGGUAACUAUUUAGUGGUAUCCAGUUAAAGCCAGUAGGAGACCAUGAGAGGAAUGAUUUUAAGUUCCCUAGAGGGCAAGAAGUGUUUCUUUAGAAAUCACUCCACGUGGUACCUCGAAGAGUAAGAUACACAAACAGGUACUUAAUAAAUGUUGUUUGAUGAUAGAGGUGUUGAAAGAAGGGUAGAUCAGUAACUGAAAUUAAUGUGGACUUACAAGACUAAUGGUUAAUAGGAAUCUAGGCAUCCACUAUGAUUAAGGCCAGUGAAUUUAAAUAAGUACAUUUCCGCUUUCAGCUCCUAGGGGAAAAGAGUAUGUUUCAGACAGCAAACCCCCAACCAAAUCUGGACAGCAAUAGUAGCCUCUUUUGGCCUUUGGUAAAAUUCCCAAUAAACCAGAUACCAAAGUACAGUAUUAAAAAAUGAAGAAAAUUCAUUUGUUCAUCGAUUGGGUGACAUCUCCAGUCCUCAGCCUCUCAGGAGGUUAGGAGCCCAGCUUGGAGUUCUACAAUAGUGCAUCACUGUUUGCCCAAGACCUUCAGUGCCUCACAUUCAUGUAUGCAAAGUCUUUUUCAAGCACCUUAUGAAAGCUGUGUUGGCUUGGACAGAAUGCCAGUGGGUAGUAUCUGGGUUUUAUUGGUGCUGCUUGAGGGAAAACAUUUAGGUAGUUCAGGAAAGCACUGAAAACAGAAAGAGGGUUUCGAGGUUGUUAUUUGGAGUCAGACUCUUGAGUAUAUCAUGGAAACAAAACAAUUUUAAACUUAAAAAAAGUAUUUUACUUCCUAUUUGGCUUCAAUAUGGUAAUAAUGUCUUUCGCUAUUUCCUGGACAACUGGCCUUUUUCUUCAGUAUGAUUCCUCUGGGAAAAGGUAUGCCUUCCAAAUGCCACCUUGGAAUUCUCACCUCAUUAUUCUUAUUCCCUUGCUAGGCAAAGCAACCCCUGCCUUCUUAAAAGUUCUAUCAGAU